rnacentral:rRNA from 1 species
CCUACGGGAGGCAGCAGUGGGGAAUAUUGGGCAAUGGACGCAAGUCUGACCCAGCAACGCCGCGUGAAGGAAGAAGGCUUUCGGGUUGUAAACUUCUUUUAAGGGGGAAGAGAAGAAGACGGUACCCCUUGAAUAAGCGCCGGCUACCUACGGGCCAGCAGCCGCGGUAAUACGUAGGGGGCGAGCGUUAUCCGGAUUAACGGGGGGUAAAGGGAGCGUAGACGGCCAUGCAAGCCAGGGGUGAAAGCCAGGGGCCCAACCCCGGGACUGCCCUUUGAACUGCAUGUCUGGAGUGCGGGAGGGGCAGGCGGAAUUCCUGGUGUAGCGGUGAAAUGCGUAGAUAUCAGGAGGAUCCCCGGCGGCGAAGGCGGCCUGCUGGACCGCGACUGACGUUGAGGCUCGAAAGCGUGGGGAGCGAACAGGAUUAGAUACCCCAGUAGUC